rnacentral:rRNA from 2 species
AAGGUGGCCUGUGAGGGUUGCUGGAGGUAUCAGAAGUGCGAAUGCUGACAUAAGUAACGAUAAAGCGGGUGAAAAGCCCGCUCGCCGGAAGACCAAGGGUUCCUGUCCAACGUUAAUCGGGGCAGGGUGAGUCGACCCCUAAGGCGAGGCCGAAAGGCGUAGUCGAUGGGAAACGGGUUAAUAUUCCCGUACUUGGUGUUACUGCGAAGGGGGGACGGAGAAGGCUAUGUUGGCCGGGCGACGGUUGUCCCGGUUUAAGCGUGUAGGUGUGUGUUCCAGGUAAAUCCGGUUCACUUUAACACUGAGGCGUGAUGACGAGGCACUACGGUGCUGAAGCAACAAAUGCCCUGCUUCCAGGAAAAGCCUCUAAGCAUCAGGUAACAUCAAAUCGUACCCCAAACCGACACAGGUGGUCAGGUAGAGAAUACCAAGGCGCUUGAGAGAACUCGGGUGAAGGAACUAGGCAAAAUGGUGCCGUAACUUCGGGAGAAGGCACGCUGACACGUAGGUGAAGUGAUUUACUCACGGAGCUGAAGUCAGUCGAAGAUACCAGCUGGCUGCAACUGUUUAUUAAAAACACAGCACUGUGCAAACACGAAAGUGGACGUAUACGGUGUGACGCCUGCCCGGUGCCGGAAGGUUAAUUGAUGGGGUCAGCGCAAGCGAAGCUCCUGAUCGAAGCCCCGGUAAACGGCGGCCGUAACUAUAACGGUCCUAAGGUAGCGAAAUUCCUUGUCGGGUAAGUUCCGACCUGCACGAAUGGCGUAAUGAUGGCCAGGCUGUCUCCACCCGAGACUCAGUGAAAUUGAACUCGCUGUGAAGAUGCAGUGUACCCGCGGCAAGACGGAAAGACCCCGUGAACCUUUACUAUAGCUUGACACUGAACAUUGAGCCUUGAUGUGUAGGAUAGGUGGGAGGCUUUGAAGUGUGGACGCCAGUCUGCAUGGAGCCGACCUUGAAAUACCACCCUUUAAUGUUUGAUGUUCUAACGUGGACCCGUAAUCCGGGUUGCGGACAGUGUCUGGUGGGUAGUUUGACUGGGGCGGUCUCCUCCUAAAGAGUAACGGAGGAGCACGAAGGUUGGCUAAUCCUGGUCGGACAUCAGGAGGUUAGUGCAAUGGCAUAAGCCAGCUUGACUGCGAGCGUGACGGCGCGAGCAGGUGCGAAAGCAGGUCAUAGUGAUCCGGUGGUUCUGAAUGGAAGGGCCAUCGCUCAACGGAUAAAAGGUACUCCGGGGAUAACAGGCUGAUACCGCCCAAGAGUUCAUAUCGACGGCGGUGUUUGGCACCUCGAUGUCGGCUCAUCACAUCCUGGGGCUGAAGUAGGUCCCAAGGGUAUGGCUGUUCGCCAUUUAAAGUGGUACGCGAGCUGGGUUUAGAACGUCGUGAGACAGUUCGGUCCCUAUCUGCCGUGGGCGCUGGAGAACUGAGGGGGGCUGCUCCUAGUACGAGAGGACCGGAGUGGACGCAUCACUGGUGUUCGGGUUGUCAUGCCAAUGGCACUGCCCGGUAGCUAAAUGCGGAAGAGAUAAGUGCUGAAAGCAUCUAAGCACGAAACUUGCCCCGAGAUGAGUUCU